rnacentral:rRNA from 1 species
UGGGGAAUUUUGGACAAUGGGCGCAAGCCUGAUCCAGCCAUGCCGCGUGCGGGAAGAAGGCCUUCGGGUUGUAAACCGCUUUUGUCAGGGAAGAAAUCUUCUGAGUUAAUACCUCGGGAGGAUGACGGUACCUGAAGAAUAAGCACCGGCUAACUACGUGCCAGCAGCCGCGGUAAUACGUAGGGUGCAAGCGUUAAUCGGAAUACUGGGCGUAAAGCGUGCGCAGGCGGUUUUGUAAGACAGAGGUGAAAUCCCCGGGCUCAACCUGGGAACUGCCUUUGUGACUGCAAGGCUUGAGUGCGGCAGAGGGGGGAAUGGAAUUCCGCGUGUAGCAGUGAAAUGCGUAGAUAUGCGGAGGAACACCGAUGGCGAAGGCAAUCCCCUGGGCCCGCACUGACGCUCAUGCACGAAAGCGUGGGGAGCAAACAGGAUUAGAUACCCUGGUAGUCCACGCCCUAAACGAUGUCAACUGGUUGUUGGGAAGGUUCCUUCUCAGUAACGUAGCUAACGCGUGAAGUUGACCGCCUGGGGAGUACGGCCGCAA